CUGGGUUGGUUGUCGUUUGACUGCUUCUAUAUGUGAUUUGUUUAAUGCAUGGCAUAUAAAUUUCCAAACUUUUAACCUCGUAUGAAUGUCUUGAAGGUUAGCUGGAACUGGGACACACUUUGGAGAUUUUAUAAUUAUGAGGACCGAUGUACGACCUGUGUACAACUUUUGUGUUACCGUUGAUGAUGCUGCCAUGGCCAUCUCACACGUGAUAAGGUAAUUGCUGUACCAUGACCCUUAUGGGGCAUAAGAUAAUGUGCUGGCUAGAGGGUAUGUUCCUCCUGUUUACUGCCUUCGAAGUCCUAAUUUUUGGUUUGUGAUUUCUUGUUUGUUGCAUUUUUCCCAUCCCAUUUCAGAGUUGAAGAGCAUUUGCCAAAUAUUCUGAGGCAAGCAUUGAUCUACAAGGUGUUAUCAAAGUAAAGUUCCAAAUACACACGCAUACACAUAUAUGCAUUUUGCCCUUCUUUCCGUCAAGGAUAAGUUCAUUUAAUUGGCUACAUAUGAUUCUGACACAGGCUCUUGGAUUGCACAUGCCUUACUUUGUACAUGUUUCUUUAAUUCUUGCUCUGGAUCGGAUUAAAUUGUCAAAACGGAAUGGUGCAACUUCAGUGGGCCACGUUCUUGCCAGUUCUGUUGCUUAUCUUUGUCGGUUUGAUAUUUUAGCAUUCUGAUUAUUUCUGCAUAUAAGAAUUUUAUUUUUCAAGCAAAGACAGAUUUUUCCAACAGCAAAAACCACUGUUUAACAGUUCAGGGAGAUGAGGUCUCUGACCCAGGCAAUGAGAUGAAUUUUAGUGUUUUGAUUACAAAAUAACACCAUAGUUUUUUUUUUUUUUUUUUUU
rnacentral:misc_RNA from 1 species